rnacentral:tRNA from 1 species
GCCUGGGUGGCUUAAACGGUUAAGCAUCAGACUUCAGCUCAGGUCAUGAUCUCACAUUUUGUGGGUUCGAGUCCCAUAUCAAGCU